rnacentral:rRNA from 1 species
AUUGAACGCUGGCGGCAGGCUUAACACAUGCAAGUCGAGCGAGCGGCGGACGGGUGAGUAAUGUCUGGGAAACUGCCUGAUGGAGGGGGAUAACUACUGGAAACGGUCGCUAAUACCGCAUACCAUCAGAUGUGCCCAGAUGGGAUUCGCUAGUAGGUGGGGUAAUGGCUCACCUAGGCGACGAUCCCUAGCUGGGCUGAGAGGAUGACCAGGCACACUGGCACGGAGACACGGUCAAGACGCCCACGCGAGGAAGCAGGGGGGAAGAGUGCAAAAUGGGCGAAAGGCUGAUGCAGCCAUGCAGCGUGUGUGAAGAAGGCAUUAGGGCUGUAAAGCAGUUUCAGCGAGUAGGCGUUACUCGCAGAAGAAGCACCGGCUAACUCCGUGCCAGCAGCCGCGGUAAUUC